AGCUACUGAGCUGGGGGGACUCUGGGUCACCUCCCACCCGUGUUUAUUGUACCUUGUUGCUUCGGUGCGCCCGCCUCACGGCCGCCGGGGGGCUUCUGCCCCCGGGUCCGCGCGCACCGGAGACACCAUUGAACUCUGUCUGAAGAUUGCAGUCUGAGCAUAAACUAAAUAAGUUAAAACUUUCAACAACGGAUCUCUUGGUUCCGGCAUCGAUGAAGAACGCAGCGAAAUGCGAUAACUAAUGUGAAUUGCAGAAUUCAGUGAAUCAUCGAGUCUUUGAACGCACAUUGCGCCCCCUGGUAUUCCGGGGGGCAUGCCUGUCCGAGCGUCAUUGCUGCCCUCAAGCACGGCUUGUGUGUUGGGCUCCGUCCCCCCGGGGACGGGUCCGAAAGGCAGCGGCGGCACCGAGUCCGGUCCUCGAGCGUAUGGGGCUUUGUCACCCGCUCUGUAGGCCCGGCCGGCGCCAGCCGACAACCAAUCAUCCUUUUUUCAGGUUGACCUCGGAUCAGGUAGGGAUACCCGCUGAACUUAAGCAUAUCAAUAAGGGGAGGGAAU
rnacentral:rRNA from 1 species